rnacentral:rRNA from 1 species
UUCAGGGAGGUAGUGACAAUAAAUACCUUACAGAGGUCUCGUUAACCGAGAUCUCUCAAACGGAAUGAGUACAACGUGAAUCCUUUAACGAGGAUCGACUGGAGGGCAAGCCUGGUGCCAGCAGCCGCGGUAAUUCCAGCUCCAGUAGCGUAUAUUAAAGCUGUUGCGGUUAAAAAGCUCGUAGUUGGAUAUCAGUGCGUGUCCGGUCCGGUAUGCCUGGCGGCGGCGCUCGCGCGUCACUGCUGGGCUCCCAAAUAUCGGCUGGCCGCAUUCAAUCGUGCCGGAUCCGUCGCCGGGCCGUUCUUCGGAGGGGCCUGGUGGCGACCGGCGACGUUACCUUGAACAAAUUAGAGUGCUCAAAGCAGGCUCUGAAUGCCUGUAUACAUAUUCAUGGAAUUGGAGAAUACGUCCCUGGCUCGAUUUGGUUGGUUUUGAGAGUCGAAGGGAAAUGAUUAAUAGGGACUGACGGAGGCAUUCGUAUUGCGACGCGAGGGGUGAAAUCCUGUGACCGUCGCACGACGAACUACUGCGAAAGCAUUUGCCGAGAAUGUUUUCAUUAGUCAAGAACGAAAGUUAGAGGUUCGAAGGCGAUCAGAUACCGCCCUAGUUCUAACCGUAAACGAUGUCGACCAGCAAUCCGCAACGGUCACUACACGGACUGUGCGGGCAGCUUCCCCGGGGAAACCAGAGUUUUUGGACUCCGGGGGAAGUAUGGUUGCAAAGCUGAAACUUAAAGGAAUUGACGGAAGGGCACCACCAGGAGUGGAGCUUGCGGCUUAAUUUGACUCAACACGGGACAACUCACCAGGCCCGGACACCGUAAGGAUUGACAGACUGAUAGCUCUCUCUUGAUUCAGUGGGUGGUGGUGCAUGGCCGUUCUUAGUUGGUGGAGUGAUUUGUCUGGUUUAUUCCGAUAACGAACGAGACUCUGGCCUAUUAAACUUGACACUGUCAGUCUCUUGUGACUGCGG